UGGGGAAUUUUGCACAAUGGGGGAAACCCUGAUGCAGCGACGCCGCGUGUACGAUGAAGAUCUUCGGAUUGUAAAGUACUGUCCUUGGUGAAGAUAAUGACUGUAACCAAGAAGCAAGCCCUGGCUAAAUACGUGCCAGCAGCCGCGGUAAUACGUAUGGGGCAAGCGUUGUCCGGAAUUAUUGGGCGUAAAGGGUAAGUAGGCGGUUAUUUAAGUCUAAAUUAAAAGGCAUUGGCUCAACCAAUGUAAGGUUUAGUUACUGGAUAACUUGAGUUGAUGAGGGGAAAGUGGAAUUCCAUGUGUAGCGGUGAAAUGCGUAGAUAUAUGGAGGAACACAAAUGGCGAAGGCAAUGAACUAGAAUCAAAAAGACGCUGAGGUACGAAGGCAUGGGGAGCAAACAGG
rnacentral:rRNA from 1 species